UCUCUACUUCUUAGGAAAACACACAUAUUACCGACCGGCAUUUACCGAAGGCCUCUGAUCCUUCGAUAAUGAAGUGGUGAAAUAAUUUACUGAGGGCUCUUGACAUUCGAUAAUGUGCGCGAUGGAUUUAAGUAAAUAAUUUGGGUUUCCUUCCCCCAAUUUUAGAAAUCUCCUACCCUCGUUUGUCGCUCGCGCUUGCCUUAAGCCAAAUAUCAGAAGUUGCUUGGGUUUUGGGAGUGCCAAUUUGCUUGCCAUAAGGCGUUCUCGUGUAACCGUUCUGUUUGACGGUGAGGUGUGUUCGUUGGUGGCUGCUGCUUUGCGGUUUGGGUAGCUAGGCUUCGUGGCGUUUGCGGUCGUGGUAGUUGGCGUUUGCGGCAGUGGUGGUGGGUCGUGGAGGUUGGCUUGACGACGACGUUGGGGUGAAGUGGGGUUGUUAAUUUCGUAGGGGUGGUGGUCUGCACAGUGUGGCAUCGUCAAGCAUUUGGUUAUCGAGGUAAGUUGAUUCCUCUAUUGAAUAAUUCUGAGGUUGGAUUGAAAUUGAACAAUUGAAUUUGAACACAUAUCAUUGCACACACUCGUUUAGGAAUUCAAUUUCGCUUCAGAUUCUUCUUUCUGCAAUUUUGAUUUCAAAUUCUACACAAGCCCUUUGGUACUUUCAAACUCUUUCAAGACAUCCAGAGUUUAUGCAAUACUUUCCAACUCCAAAUUCCCCCAAGUCAAAUUCUUGAGGGUCCAAUUCCCCCACGUAUCAUUAAGUAUGAUUAAAGUACGGUGCUCCUUUUUUAUUCUUUGACGCAAUUUGUUUCUUCUUUCGAGGACGACAUUGUAUACCAAUCCAAAGUCCUUUUCCUCCCACUCGCACCACAAAUGCCAAUAUUACAGCCACUGGAAUCCCACAAAGGUUGUACGGGUCAUGUAUCCCAUGAAUUGACUCAGAUGAGAACGAAACAUGGAAUUUUGGGCAUAAUAGGGUGGGGUCUGAUCCUGCCUGUAGGGGCAAUUAUUGCUAGAUAUUUCAGGCACAAGGAUCCCUUAUGGCUCUAUCUCCAUGCAAUCAUUCAGUUUGUGUGAUUCACAUUUGGGCUUAGUACAAUCAUUCUUGGAUUACAACUCUAUUCCAAAAUGCAUGCCCAUAUAUAAGCUCAUAGAGGCAUAGACAUCUUUGCCCUUGUACUAACUAUUCUUCAGCGAUUGUUCUUGAAGUAUUGGCAUAUUUGAAAAGAUCGGAGAUGCAUUCUCUACGUCCUAACUUCCAAAUAGACCUUGUUGGAGGAGCUACAUUUCCAAGGGGAAUGUGAUUGCUACUAGUUUUACAGUUCCACAAACGUUGUCAAUUGUUCCAUUUAAAGCAGCGCUAUACAUUUGAAUUCUUUUUGGCAUGUUCCUUGUUGCCAUUUCUGGUUGUGCUUUUCCUGAUGGUACAUAUUGGGGGAAAUGCGUACAUAACCAGCUACGAGUUUGCCAAGUUGGAGAAUCCUUGUUCGGUAUUCUCACUCAAUUUCACCAGAUUGAAGUCGUUUUUUUGAAGAUUGCCAAGAAUGUAAAUGACGAUUCAUAAGAGCUUUCUAUUUACAGUUACAUUUUAUAAUUCGUAGCCUUUUUUUCUGCUGGAGAUAUAUGUAUUGGAAUUUAAGAAUCAUACUUUGUUCUUUGUUGAAUGAGAAG
rnacentral:sRNA from 1 species